AAAUGGAAAAAAAAAGGAAAAAAUUCUCAGGGUUGGAGGACAAAAGCAUGCUCCGGCCAUACAUCUGGAAACACUCUAAACCAACAUCCUGGUAUAAAUUUGCAAAACGCAAUACAGGCCGGAUUGUGCGCGGGACAGACGCAGGGUGCAUACAAAUGGCUCCCCCGUCUAAAGUACCCCCUGUUUCGCUUCUGCCUCAGAAGGAGAGCCUGCGUUUUUUACCGAAGGGAGAAUAAAGUUUCAAGUGCAUGGCAUUUGAAGACUCGGCGGGCCAGCGCGAACCCGAAGUGCUUGAAACGGGGAUAAACGGAAAAUUUAUUUGCAUUUGUGAAAUUUCAACACACUUGAUUUUUUUCAGCUGCGCAAUCUGAAGUGCGCGAGUCUAUGCGAGAUGUAAAGGAAGCACACACUGUGUGCAGAUGUCACAACGACACACAGGAAUUCACUCAAUGAGCUGGGGUUUCUUAAACCUACUGUGUGGGUUUCAUUUUCCUUCAGAUCACUUUGAUUUGUGCACUUUUUCAAUGUGGCAAAUAGAGAUUUUGGAGGGCCCUCAAGGCAGCCCCCAAAUGCCCCUUACAAAACUCCUCUCCAGCAAUCAUUACAUCACCAUUUCUCUAAGCCGAUUUUCACCAAGUCUGGCUGUGUUAUUAAAAUAGUAAUUAAUUUUUG